rfam:Chaetura pelagica isolate M959 contig59445, whole genome shotgun sequence.
GUUCAGUUAACUCAGUUAGUAGAGUAGGAGAUUCUGAAUCUCAGAGUUGUGGGUUCUAGGGCCAUAUUGGGCA